AUUCUGCCCAAGCGGGGAAGGAUGAGAAGCUUCGACCAAGGUUCGACUUGAGCGCCAGCGAGAGAGCGUUGCCGCAGGCAACGACCCGAAGGGCGAAGCGCGCAGCGCUGAGUAAUCCUUCCCCCACCACGA
rnacentral:sRNA from 1 species